rnacentral:ncRNA from 2 species
UUAGCUUAUAAAUUUAACGAUUUAUAAAAAACUCUCAAACAACUCUUAAAAGGGAAUCUUGUGAAAGACAAGAGCGGUUCCCGCCGCCGUAAAGUUCUAUAAGCUUUUAUUGAGGUAAGCCACUGGAAUAACAUUCUGGGAAGGCAAAUAAAAGCGAACUAAGCCGGAAGACCUGCCCACGCUGUGAUUUUAAA